AUCUGGCUAGCUCAGUCGGUAGAGCAUGUGACUCUUGAUCCUGGGGUCAUGAGUUCAAAUCCCGUGUUGGGUG
rnacentral:tRNA from 1 species